CAGUAGCCGCGGGAAUACGGAGGGAGCUAGCGUUGUUCGGAAUUACUGGGCGUAAAGCGCGCGUAGGCGGUUACUCAAGUCAGAGGUGAAAGCCCGGGGCUCAACCCCGGAACUGCCUUUGAAACUAGGUCACUAGAAUCUUGGAGAGGUCAGUGGAAUUCCGAGUGUAGAGGUGAAAUUCGUAGAUAUUCGGAAGAACACCAGUGGCGAAGGCGACUGACUGGACAAGUAUUGACGCUGAGGUGCGAAAGCGUGGGGAGCAAACAGGAUUAGAUACCCCUGUAGUCCCUGUCUCUUAUAC
rnacentral:rRNA from 1 species